rnacentral:misc_RNA from 1 species
UUUCCGUAGGUGAACCUGCGGAAGGAUCAUUAUUGUAGGGACUCCGGUCCCCUCAAGAUGCAACCCGUGCCUUUUUUGUAGCCCGUAACGUUUCCUCGGCAGCCCCGCUGCCAGCGAGGACCCCCCCCAAACCAAACCUGCAAUCUCAGUAAAAAAUUCAGAAACCCCCCAAAAUUUAAAAACUUUCAACAAUGGAUCUCUUGGCUCUGGCAUCGAUGAAGAACGCAGC